CUCGCCGCUACCCAAGCAGUCCCACCCUCGCCAAGGCUGCCUCACAGUCUGGUAACCCUAAAUAAUUGGUCAGCAGCCAGCUUAUUGGCAGCGAUAUCCCCACACUGGGGCUUUCUGGGGAGGCUUCCCCCACCAGCAAGCAAACUCCUCAGGUGGACUGCUGGAUGGCUCAGCAGUGUGACAGCGAGCUCUCGAGGGGCAGUGGAGCGCUCGGCCCGCCCCAGGCACAGCCGCGCGACUGGCUUGCCCAUGUCCUCCACUCAUUCCGGGGAGCUGGCAGGGGUUGCUGCAACUUUUCU
rnacentral:telomerase_RNA from 1 species